CCUACGGGGGGCUGCAGUGGGGAAUAUUGGACAAUGGGGGGAACCCUGAUCCAGCCAUGCCGCGUGUGUGAAGAAGGCCCUCGGGUUGUAAAGCACUUUCAGUGAGGAAGAACGCCUGGUGGUUAAUACCCAUCAGGAAAGACAUCACUCACAGAAGAACCACCGGCUAACUCCGUGCCAGCAGCCGCGGUAAUACGGAGGGUGCGAGCGUUAAUCGGAAUUACUGGGCGUAAAGCGCGCGUAGGUGGCUUGAUAAGCCGGUUGUGAAAGCCCCGGGCUCAACCUGGGAACGGCAUCCGGAACUGUCAAGCUAGAGUGCAGGAGAGGAAGGUAGAAUUCCCGGUGUAGCGGUGAAAUGCGUAGAGAUCGGGAGGAAUAUCAGUGGCGAAGGCGGCCUUCUGGACUGACACUGACACUGAGGUGCGAAAGCGUGGGUAGCAAACAGGAUUAGAUACCCCAGUAGUC
rnacentral:rRNA from 1 species